CUAAAAGGUAAUGGGAACGAUCAACUGUUGUCUUCUCGUAUCUCUACACCCAGCUACAGCUGUGAUUCCUGUUUACGUUACCACCAUUAAUCCAGCCCAUACCAGCAUUGUGUGCUUUUAAACGAGACAACGCAGAGUCACAGCCACAUCCCUUUAAAAGCUUUGGAGAAGCUGCUCCUGCAAACCUGCAGAAGGUGUUCUGUUCAUCCUUCCCCUGUGAGAAGACCCUAUGACACUAUGAGUCUGAAUGGAUGUGAAGCUCUUACUGAGAAAAGAAAAC